UUUCAGAUAGAGAUUCUUUCGGAUUUCGAGUCGUAGAUAGAGGAGCUUUGCACCUCUCACCCUCAGCUACAGUUUCGUAGUCUGUGCGGCAGAUAGUUUACACAGAGCAGGACAAGAGUUUCCACGAGAUUCGUCCUCUUGCAGGACGAGUAAACGUCCCAUGAAGAGCUUAGCUAUGAUGGCGUUUCUAGGGCAAAUCUUCUUCGCUGUUGGAGUCCUGUCUUCAGUCGUUAUAUC